AGAGUUUGAUCCUGGCUCAGCCUGAACGCUGGCAGCGUGGUUAAGACAUGCAAGUCGCACGGAUAUAGCAAUAUAUCAGUGGCGCACGGGUGAGUAAUGUAUCGCUAAUGUACCCCGGACUCUGGGAUAGCCAUCCGAAAGGAUGGGUAAUACCAGAUAAUAUGACCGAACCGCAUGGUUUGGUCCUCAACGGUCCGCCGGUCUGGGAGCAGGCGAUAUCGUAUCAGCUAGUUGGUGAGGUAACGGCUCACCAAGGCGACGACGCGUAGCCGGACUGAGAGGUCGGUCGGCCACAUCGGGACUGAGACACUGCCCGGACUCCUACGGGGGGCUGCAGUAACGAAUCUUCCCCAAUGCACGAAAGUGUGAGGGAGCGACGCUGCGUGGAGGAUGAAGUCCUUCGGGAUGUAAACUCCUGUCAGGAGCUACCAAGUUCUGAGGAGCUCCAAAGGAAGAGGCGGCUAACUCUGUGCCAGCAGCCGCGGUAAGACAGAGGCCUCGAGCGUUAGGCGGAAUCACUGGGCCUAAAGCGUGUGUAGGUGGAUUCUUAAGUGCUUUGUGAAAUCCCACGGCUUAACCGUGGAACUGCUUGGCAUACUGGGAAUCUUGAGCUAUCUAGGGGCAACUGGAACAGACGGUGGAGCGGUGAAAUGCGUAGAUAUCGUCUGGAACGCCAAUGGUGAAGACAGGUUGCUGGGGAUAUGCUGACACUGAGACACGAAAGCCAGGGGAGCAAACGGGAUUAGAUACCCCGGUAGUCCUGGCCCUAAACGAUGUCCACUAGAUCGCAGCACUUUUGACGGUGUUGUGGUCGAAGUAAAAAUGUUAAGUGGACCGCCUGGGAAGUACGGUCGCAAGGCUAAAACUCAAAGGAAUUGACGG
rnacentral:rRNA from 1 species